rnacentral:rRNA from 1 species
GACUAACGCUGGCGGCGUGCCUAACACAUGCAAGUCGAACGGGGGUAGCAAUACCCCAGUGGCAGACGGGUGAGUAACGCGUAGAUAACGUGCCCUUUUGUUGGGGAUAGCCACUGGAAACGGUGGGUAAUACCGAAUAUGGUCGUCAGGCCUCCUGGUCUGGCGAAGAAAGCAGCAAUGCGCAAGAGGAGCGGUCUGCGUCCUAUUAGCUAGUUGGUGGGGUAAUGGCCUACCAAGGCGACGAUGGGUAGCCGGUCUGAGAGGAUGAUCGGCCACACUGGCACUGAGAUACGGGCCAGACUCCUACGGGAGGCUG